GACGGGGGAUGCGAGCGUUAUCCGGAAUUACUGGGCGUAAAGCGCACGCAGGUGGCUGAGUCAGUCGAUUGUGAAAGCCCUGGGCUUAACCUGGGAAUUGCAGUCGAUACUACUCAGCUAGAGUAUGGGAGAGGGUAGUGGAAUUCCCGGUGUAGCGGUGAAAUGCGUAGAUAUCGGGAGGAACAUCAGUGGCGAAGGCGGCUACCUGGCCCAAUACUGACACUCAGGUGCGACAGCGUGGGGAGCAAACAGG
rnacentral:rRNA from 1 species